CCUACGGGGUGCAGCAGUGGGGAAUAUUGCACAAUGGGGGAAACCCUGAUGCAGCGACGCCGCGUGAGUGAAGAAGUAAUUCGUUACGUAAAGCUCUAUCAGCAGGGAAGAAACACUGACCUUACGGUCAGCAGACGGUACCUGAGUAAGAAGCCCCGGCUAACUACGUGCCAGCAGCCGCGGUAAUACGUAGGGGGCAAGCGUUAUCCGGAUUUACUGGGUGGAAAGGGGGCGUAGACGGGGCGCCAAGGCUGGAGUGAAAUGCCGCAGCUUAACUGCGGAACUGGUUUGGAAACUGGCGAACGAGAGUGCGGGAGGGGGAAGCGGAAUUCCUAGUGUAGCGGUGAAAUGCGUAGAUAUUAGGAGGAACACCGGUGGCGAAGGCGGCUUACUGGACCGUAACUGACGUUGAGGCUCGAAAUCGUGGGGAGCAAACAGGAUUAGAUACCCCGGUAGUC
rnacentral:rRNA from 1 species